rnacentral:lncRNA from 1 species
UAGUAUUUGUGUUCAUAGUAGUAGUAGUAGUAUUUGUGUUCAGAGUAGUAGUAGUUGUAUUUGUGUUCAGAGUAGUAGUAGUUGGCAUCCCACAAGAUUUGUGUUCAGAGUACAAAAAAGAUAGGGAGAGCAGAUAGUGUCUAGCAAAACAUUUCAGAGUAGUAGUAGUUGGCAUCCCACAAGAUUUGUGUUCAGAGUACAAAAAAGACAUUUCAGAGUAGUAGUAGUUGGCAUCCCACAAGAUUUGUGUUCAGAGUACAAAAAAGAUAGGGAGAGCAGAUAGUGUCUAGCAAAACAAAAGCAGAAAGCCAAAAGCCAAGAACUGAAUUGACAAUAAGACAGGGAGGAAGGAUGUCUUCUUGUGUUGGAAAAUUCUUUUAAUGUGAUAGAAUCGAUGAGACUGUUGUCCUCUGACCUUGGAGGAUUAAAUCUCUUAUGGAGGAAAUCUUGGAGAGCUCCCAAGAGAUCUCAUCAUAGCAUGUGGGAAGCUUAUGAUUGUCCUCUGACCUUGGAGGAUUAAAUCUCUUAUGGAGGAAAUCUUGGAGAGCUCCCAAGAGAUCUCAUCAUAGCAUGUGGGAAGCUUAAUAUGUUGUUUCGGAUUGGGUCUCCUGGUUAUGUUAUGCCUUUGUUACAUGUAUAUUUAGUGGUCAUUUGCUAUUGUACUGAUUUUAUUCACUGUGAACGUUAAUGUGUUUUUCUUUUACAAACAUUUGACAUGGCUAUGAAAGGGGACAUGAAAGGUUGUUGGGACCACAAGAAGGUAAAUUCAUAUUUUUGUUGCCUUCUCACACUGUUGGAUCAAUCUUUUUAUUGGUGCAUCUAUAGAUGCUAUAGAUGAUAAAUGGGUGAUUAAAGCAUUUGGACUUAAAAUGUUAGCUUUUUAGAGUCAUCUUUGUUCGUGGAUAAGGAAUACAGGGUGUUCUUUACCUUGUUGAAGAAGGACAAACAUGGUGUAUUUGAUACAAAAAACAAAAAUGCUGAAGAGUGACAAGUCAGUUUUUUGCUUUUGGCACUCUUGUUUAUAGGUGUGACUGCAAAUAUUUUUUGUAUGUUUACAUUAUGUUUCAAUAACUCCUUGCAGCUCUGUCAUAUAUGCAUCUUUUGUAAGAGCAUCGAUGGGGCUAUAGAUAUGGCUCAUUGUGCUUUUGCCAGCUGUCUUAAAUUUUAUGUUGGUAACUUUUUGGGGGUUACAGACUCACAUUGACGUUGGAGUGUUUGUUGUUUCCAAAUCUUAAGUCUGCCCUGAUGAAAUAUAUUUAAUUUGUGCAUUUGGCAAUCUUAUGCAUGGGUGUGCAAGGUGAUGAUAAGUGUGAUUAGCUUAUACCUGGAUAACUCCUUCCAGGUCCAUUAUAUGUGCAUCUUAUGUUAGAGAGAGAAUAAAACUAUAUGAUUUUUAUGCUUUUGUUUAGUGGAUUGUGGUUGUUUAGUGGAUUGUGGUUGUUUGGUAUAUUUUUGGGGUGACAUGCAUUUUCCAAAAAUAGUUUUGUUUGAGUGCUGUUGUUUCUUAUUCUCAAGCUCCUCCCUAUCAUAUAUUUCGUUCUAUGGAACCUUUUAUUUCUUUAUGGUCCUUGGAAGAAUAAUGCCUGAGCAUAAUUUUUAGUUCUUAGAUAUAAUUGAGAGCUCUUUGUGAUCAUCAGUGAAGUGUUGAAGGAUGUGACAGGCUGUUGUCUUUUCAUUUGGGACUUUGGAACUUCCUUGUCCAAUGGAAGUGGAUGGUGCUAUAAAGAUUAUAGUGGUGGGGUAGAUCUAUUGAUUUGUGGUUUCUUUAUGAGAUGGGCCAAAAGUCUUUGUUACAUGUAAUUAGGAACAGAUCUUUGGUUUCUUGUUCUUUUCAUGGCUAAUAUAGAUUGUGGAGACUUAUCCAAUGUUAUUAGAUUGCUAAAUUGUGGGGAUAUAAAUUGUUGGAGAAUAAACUCCAUGUUCAAUGGAGUUAAUGGUCUCAUCAUGAUUCUAUAAGAUGGCAUAGCUUCUAAUAAUGUAGCCAGAUCAUUGCGUAUUAUAUUUUGAGAUGAUAUAUGCAAUUAUGAUCACAGAGUUAAG